AUAUCAGUCAUGCAUAGCAUAUCAAUAAGCGGAGGAAAAGAAACUAACAAGGAUUCCCUUAGUAACGGCGAGUGAAGCGGGAAGAGCUCAAAUUUGAAAUCUUUCAAGGUUUUACCUUGACGAAUUGUAGUUUAAAGAAGUGUUUUCUGUUGAAGUUUUGGUAAAAGUUCUUUGGAAUAGGACAUCAUAGAGGGUGAGAAUCCCGUAUUUGACCAUUAUUUUCAGCUGUGUGAUACACUUUCAAAGAGUCGGAUUGUUUGGGAAUGCAGUCCAAAAUGGGUGGUAAAUUUCAUCCUAAAGCUAAAUAUUGGCGAGAGACCGAUAGCGAACAAGUACCGUGAGGGAAAGAUGAAAAGAACUUUGAAAAGAGAGUUAAACAGUACGUGAAAUUGUCAAAAGGGAAGCGUUUGACACCAGUGUUGUUUUCUCGAAAAUCAAUUAAAAAAAGUUGGAUUUUGUGUUGUAUUGACCUUAACAGCUUUCUGCACUCUUUUCCUGCUUUUUUUAAUGCACUUUUCGUUUAACAAGUCAACAUCAGUUUCUUUUGUUGUAAAAGGGUCAUUGGAAGGUGGCUUUCUUUUCGGAGAAAGUGUUUAUAGCCUUUGAUCUCUGCAAUCGGAGAGACUGAGGUCUGCAGCGUAGAUCCUUCGGGGUUAGAUACAUUUGUGCUAAGUUAUAACUUUUCAUAGACAACUUGUUGACUAUGUUUUAGUCAUGUAGCUUACUCGCUUAUGCUAUUUUACCUACGCUUAGGAUGUUGAAGAUGUAGCACAUCAUACACGCAUGACACACUGCAUAUCAAUAAGCGGAGGAAAAGGCUGCAGGAACCGAACGACCGCUACCUACGCUUAGAAUGUUGACGCGCGUGUGUGCGUGAGUCUAUACAUGACUCUGCGCAUAUCAAUAAGCGGAGGAAAAGUACUACCUACGCUUAGGAUGUUGAAGAUGUAGCACAUCA
rnacentral:rRNA from 1 species